UCAAGCUACUAAGAGCGUAGAGUGGAUGCCUUGGCACCGAGAGCCGAUGAAGGACGUGAUAAGCUGCGAAAAGCUACGGGGAGUUGCAAAUAAACUUUGAUCCGUAGAUGUCCGAAUGGGGAAACCCGGCUGUGCAAACCACAGUCAUCAUACAGCCAAUCCAUAACUGUAUGAAGGGAACGCUGGGAACUGAAACAUCUAAGUACCAGCAGGAGGAGAAAGAAACAUCGAUUUCCUAAGUAGCGGCGAGCGAAAGGGAAACAGGCCAAACCAAAGUACUUGUACUUUGGGGUUGCGGACUGCGUUGUGGCAAGAUAAAGGAUAGUCGAAGCGUUUGGAAAGACGCAUCAUAGAGGGUGAUAAUCCCGUAGACGAAAUCCGAUUGAAGCCUAGCAGGAUCCAGAGUACCACGAGACACGAGAAACCUUGUGGGAAGCCGGGGGGACCACCCCCCAAGCCUAAAUACUCCUCGGUGACCGAUAGCGUAUAGUACUGUGAAGGAAAGGUGAAAAGAACCCCGGGAGGGGAGUGAAAAAGAACCUGAAACUCUAUGUUUACAAGCAGUGGAAGCACCGUAUGCGUGCGACCGCGUACUUUUUGUAGAACGGUCCGGCGAGUUAUUCGUAGUGGCAAGGUUAAGUACCAGAAGGUACGAAGCCGAAGGGAAACCAAGUCUGAAUAGGGCGAGUUUAGUCGCUGCGAAUAGACCCGAAACCGGGUGACCUACCCAUGGUCAGGAUGAAGUUACCGUAAAAGGUAAUGGAGGUCCGAACUCACAUCUGUUGAAAAAGGUGGAGAUGAACUGUGGGUAGCGGAGAAAUUCCAAUCGAACCCGGAGAUAGCUGGUUCUCCUCGAAAUAGCUUUAGGGCUAGCGUUGUUAGGAGUCUAAUGGAGGUAAAGCACUGAAUUCCCUAGGGGGCCCACAAGCUUACCGAAGGAUAUCAAACUCAGAAUGCCAUAAAGAUACCAACAGCAGUCAGACUACGAGUGAUAAGACACGUGGUCAAAAGGGAAAGAGCCCAGACCAUCAGCUAAGGUCCCCAAGUGUAUGUUAAGUGGAAAAGGAUGUGAGAUUUCGAAGACAACUAGGAUGUUGGCUUAGAAGCAGCCAUACAUUCAAAGAGUGCGUAAUAGCUCACUAGUCGAGAGAUCUUGCGCCGAAAAUGUCCGGGGCUAAAACAUACCACCGAAGCUAUGGAAUCAUCUAGUAUGAUUGGUAGAGGAGCGUUGCAUCGGCGCAGAAGCAGUACCGGAAGGAGCUGUGGAGCUUAUGCAAGUGAGAAUGCCGGAAUGAGUAGCGAGAUAGAAGUGAGAAUCUUCUAGGCCGAAUAUCCAAGGUUUCCAGGGUAAAGCUGAUCUGCCCUGGGUAAGUCGGGACCUAAGGCGAGGACGAAAGUCGUAGUCGAUGGACAACUGGUUGAAAUUCCAGUACCACCUAUUAUCAGAACUGCAGGGACGCAGAAGGAUAGGGAAGGCGCAGAAUGGAAAGCUGCGUGCAAGCACAAAGUCGCAUCUGGUAGGCAAAUCCGCCAGACGAGGAUGAAGUGUGAUGCGGAUCGAAAUACAAGUAGAGAAGUUCCUGAAUCCACACUGCCGAGAAAAGCUGCUAUUGCGUGAUAGGUGCCCGUACCGUAAACCGACACAGGUGGAUGAGGAGAGAAUCCUAAGGCCGACGGGAGAAGCGUUGUUAAGGAACUCGGCAAAAUGACCCCGUAACUUAGGGAGAAGGGGUGCCUGCUUAACGGCAGGCCGCAGAGAAUAGGCCCAAGCAACUGUUUAACAAAAACACAGGUCUUUGCUAAACCGAAAGGUGAUGUAUAAGGGCUGACGCCUGCCCGGUGCUGGAAGGUUAAGGGGAGAGGUUAGGAGUAAUCCGAAGCUUUGAACUUAAGCCCCAGUAAACGGCGGCCGUAACUAUAACGGUCCUAAGGUAGCGAAAUUCCUUGUCAGGUAAGUUCU
rnacentral:rRNA from 1 species